UUUAUGGUGGCUGUACGUGGGGCACAUCAACGUGCGCCGAGUUUCAAUGCUCUCGGUCUGUCAACCCAAGUACAGCUGCCACCU
rnacentral:antisense_RNA from 1 species